rnacentral:sRNA from 2 species
GGAAAAUAUUAGCUUAAUCCCAUUAAAUGGGAGCGGAGGAACCAAUUGUGGGGUGAAUCCUGUGCUUUGGCCCAGGUAGGGUUUUAACCUUUCGACCCGAACCCGUCAGCUAACUUCGUAAGCUAUAAAGAAAGGGAGG